rnacentral:rRNA from 1 species
CUGCCCUAUGGUGGAGGAUAACCCCGGGAAACUGGGGAUAAUACUCCAUAAGUCAGGAGUACUGGAAUGUCUCCUAACUGAAAGUUGCGGCGCCAUAGGAUGAAUCUGCGGCCGAUUAGGUAGUUGUUGGGGUAACGGCCCAACAAGCUUGUUAUCGGUACGGGUUGUGGGAGCAAGAGCCCGGAGAUGGAAUCUGAGACACGAUUCCAGGCCCUACGUUUCCCACCCCCUCUUCGAAAACUUUACAAUGCAGGAAACUGUGAUAAGGGAACCCCGAGUGCCCGUACACGCGGGCUGUCCCGGUGUUUAAAACACAUCGGAAGAAAGGGCCGGGCAAGACCGGUGCCAGCCGCCGCGGUAAUACCGGCGGCUCGAGUGGUGACCACUUUUAUUGGGCUUAAAGCGUUCGUAGCUUGAUUUUUAAGUCUCUUGGGAAAUCUCACGGCUUAACUGUGAGGCGUCUAAGAGAUACUGGGAAUCUAGGGACCGGGAGAGGUAAGAGGUACUUUCAGGGUAGAAGUGAAAUUCUGUAUCCUUGGGGGACCACCGAUGGCGAGCAUCUACAGACGCUUCGACAGUGAGACGAGGCUGGGGAGCGAC